UUAACUAUUAUAUAGUUCUCAGACGACAUGUACAAACAGAGUUUAGGGUCCUCUGGCGAGCACUCACCAGCUAGAAGCCGGUGGCCGGAGCGGCUCGCCAAAGCAACAAAGGUAUAAUUAACAUAGGGUUGGAGAGUCACCCUCGCGGGCGAUGUUCUCUGUAAUGAUCCCUCCGCAGGUUCACCUACGGAGA
rnacentral:misc_RNA from 1 species